rnacentral:rRNA from 1 species
CGCGGCCUAUCAGCUUGUUGGUGAGGUAAUGGCUCACCAAGGCGACGACGGGUAGCCGGCCUGAGAGGGCGACCGGCCACACUGGGACUGAGACACGGCCCAGACUCCUACGGGAGGCAGCAGUGGGGAAUAUUGCACAAUGGGCGAAAGCCUGAUGCAGCGACGCCGCGUGAGGGAUGAAGGCCUUCGGGUUGUAAACCUCUUUCAGUAGGGAAGAAACGCAAGUGACGGUACCUACAGAAGAAGCACCGGCUAACUACGUGCCAGCAGCCGCGGUAAUACGUAGGGUGCGAGCGUUGUCCGGAAUUAUUGGGCGUAAAGAGCUUGUAGGCGGUUUGUCACGUCGGGAGUGAAAACUCGGGGCUCAACCCCGAGCUUGCUUCCGAUACGGGCUAACUAGAGGUAUGCAGGGGAGAACGGAAUUCCUGGUGUAGCGGUGAAAUGCGCAGAUAUCAGGAGGAACACCGGUGGCGAAGGCGGUUCUCUGGGCAUUACCUGACGCUGAGGAGCGAAAGUGUGGGGAGCGAACAGGAUUAGAUACCCUGGUAGUCCACACCGUAAACGUUGGGCGCUAGGUGUGGGACUCAUUCCACGAGUUCCGUGCCGCAGCUAACGCAUUAAGCGCCCCGCCUGGGGAGUACGGA